rnacentral:rRNA from 2 species
CUGUUAUCCCCGCGGUAACUUGGUUUAAGUCCUUAAUAGGGUUAUAAAAAAUUUAGGAUUAAAAAGAUUUUGUUUUAUACCGCCCCAGUUAAAAUGUUAUUUUAAGUUCGUCGGGGUCUUGUCGUCUUCUCAUGUGAUUUAAGCCUUUUUACUUAAAUGUAAAUUUAGAGUAGUCAUAGUAAUAAAGAAAUCAACUCGUUUAUCCUUUCAUUCUAGCCUUUAAUUGAAAGGCAAGUGAUUAUGCUACCUUAGCACAUAUAUUGCGGCUAUUUAAGAUUCAUUUAGCAGGAUGUACUAAUUA